rnacentral:rRNA from 1 species
GGGAAUAUUGGUUAAUGGGCGAAAGCCUGACCCAGCAACGCCGCGUGCGCGAUGAAGGCCUUCGGGUUGUAAAGCGCUUUUAAGUGGGAUGAGGAAGGACAGUACCACUAGAAUAAGUCUCGGCUAACUACGUCCCAGCAGCCGCGGUAACACGUAGGAGACGAGCGUUAUCCGGAUUUACUGGGUGUAAAGCGCGUGCAGGCGGUUUGGAAAGUUGGAUGUGAAAGCUCCUGGCUUAACUGGGAGAGGUCGUUCAAAACUACCAGACCAUAGUCCAGCGGAGGGGAGUGGAAUUCCGAGUGUAGCGGUAAAAUGCAUAGCUAUUCGGAAGAACACCAGUGGCGAAGGCGGCUCCCUGGGCUGACACUGGCGCCCAGACGCGAAAGCUAGGGUA